rnacentral:rRNA from 1 species
GAAGCGCCAGCGAAGCGCAAAGCCUUGAUCCGAAGCGCGGAUGAACGCCGGCGAUAACUAUAAUCGUCCUAAGGUAGCGAAAUUCCUUGUCGGGUAAGUUCCGACCUGCACGAAUGGCAUAACGACUUGGAAACUGUCUCAACUAG